AUGUACAGAAGACACACUGGUCAGCCAAGGAAUCAUGUUCUGUGAAUAGCAAGAAUGUUACUUGAGCCAGGGAAUCAUGUUCUGUGAAUAGCAAGAAUGUUACUUGAGCCAGGGAAUCAUGUUCUGUGAAUAGCAAGAAUGUUACUUGAGCCAGGGAAUCAUGUUCUGUGAAUAACAAGAAUGUUACUUGAGCCAGGGAAUCAUGUUCUGUGAAUAGCAAGAAUGUUACUUGAGCCAGGGAAUCAUGUUCUGUGAAUAGCAAGAAUGUUACUUGAGCCAGGGAAUCAUUUUCUGUGAAUAGCAAGAAUGUUACUUGAGCCAGGGAAUCAUUUUCUGUGAAUAGCAAGAAUGUUACUUGAGCCAGGGAAUCAUGUUCUGUGAAUAGCAAGAAUGUUACUUGAGCCAGACACUGAAACUGUACUAGCCUCAUUGUUGUCUAGGUGGAAGUGACUGGGGUUGAAAUAGUUGUCUAGUGGGCAGCAGAAAUGGAACCCUAGCCGGACGCUGGACAUGUGCUGACAUCCAAUUUGUCAAGGUGGAAGUAACUGUGCUUGGAAUAGGUGUCUAGUGAGCAAUAACAAUGGAACUCAAGUCUGACACUUAAAAUGUACUAACCUCCCUCCUGUUGAGGUGGAACUGACUGUGCCUUUAAUAGUUGUCUAGUGAGCAACAUAAAUGGAAGUCUAGCCAGACGCUAAACAAGUACUGACAUCCUAUUUGUCUAGAUGGAAGUGACUGUGGUUGGAAUAGUUGUUUAGUGUGUACUGGAUAUAGAACUGAAGUUAGAAAGUGGACCUGUAUUGACCUCACUCCAGUUUGGGUGGAAGUGCCUCUGCUUGGGAUAGCUGUCCAGUCAAAAAUUACAAGUCAAAUCUUGUCAGGAAAAAAGAAGUCAACGCCGCAGGAACAACGAGUUGUGAUGAGUGAAUUUGAAAAAUAUAUGCAUCUAAACAAAUUGCCUGGGAAGUCCAAAUGCCAGACAUUGCUAAAAAAACCCGUGUUUAAGUAGAAGUUGGAGAAAUAUUAAAGACUUCGUUCGAAAUAAGACAAAGACAUUUAUCAAGCAUCAGGAAAAUUAUAAUGACUGAGGAAAGAACAACAUGCUGUAGAUUUGAAUGCUGUUAUUGGCAAUUUGCAAAAGUGUUUUGGAAACAAUCCAAAACUGACGAUAUCAUUAUGUAACAGUAAACAAUAUAUUACACUUUUUAACAAACAUUUGUUGAUAAGCCGGUUUGAAAUUUUGAACUAUAAAGUUAUAUUGUGAAACGAAUUUUAUCCAUGUUUCAUAUUCUGUAGGGAAAGUAUCGUUUCAGAAAUGGAGUAUGCUCAAUUAUUAAUUUUAAUAUAAAGUUAAGUAAUCGCAGUCUCGUUGAAGACAUUUUUGGCGACCGUCAUUUUCUAUAAAAUAAACAUGUAUGUUUUUUAAUUGCAGUUAUCAUUAUGCUUUAAAUAUAUCCAACAGAAUUUCAAACCUUUUUGGGUAGAUGUCUCAAAAAGCUUUUCAAUUUAUUGUAGUAAAUUAGAAGUAAAAGCAGAAUUGUUGUAUUAUUCACUUUUUUAUAAUCCAAAUAUAUUGAUAGGAAAUAAAAGUUUUACUUUAAGUCAUGUUUUGAUGCUUGAAUUUACUGUAUAGGUGAUAUAUUAAAAAAUGGAACCAUUAUUUCUGUAGAUGAAUUGAGUGAAAUGUACAGUUUAACAAUAAAUUUUAUUAAUUAUAUAGGGUUGACAAGAGCAAUAGAUAAAUUUGUGAACAAAUGUUGUUUACCCUGUCCUACCCAACAAAUGAUAAAACCGUUUUUCCCCCAUUAUUACAUCUCAUAUUGAAAAACUAAUCUGGUGCUAAAAGACAAUAUAAUAUUGUAAAUAAGAACAAUGAACAACCUUCAGUUAAAGCAAAAUGGGGUAUAAAACUCAAUACCAUAAUUAAUGAAAAUGAAUGGAACUACAUUUUUGAACUACCCUUUUUAAUAACAAAUGAUGUAAAGGUACAGUGGUUCCAAUACAGAAUAAUUCAUAGGGUACAUG